UCGAAACCUGCCCAGCAGAGCGACCCGUGAACAUGUUCAACCUCAUGGGUGCUGGGGCGUUGCUCGGUGCCUUGUGUGCCGGCUCGCCCCUCUCCCAGGCGGGGGAGCGCCCACUUGUGGGCUGUUCCCCGGCUAACCAACGAACCCCGGCGCGUAAAUGCGUCAAGGAAUAUAAACUUUAUGUGUGUGCUCUCCUAUUGCCCGGUUAGCCGGGCGUUGGAGUGGUGCCAUGUCUUAACAAUAAACGACUCUCGGCAACGGAUAUCUCGGCUCUCGCAUCGAUGAAGAACGUAGCGAAAUGCGAUACUUGGUGUGAAUUGCAGAAUCCCGUGAACCAUCGAGUUUUUGAACGCAAGUUGCGCCCGAAGCUUUUGGCUGAGGGCACGUCUGCCUGGGCGUCACGCAUCGCGUCUCCCCCACAUUCCACCUUGGUGGAGGGGAAGGAGGAUGGUUUCCCGCGACUCACCGGUCACGGUUGGCUUAAAAUUGGAGCCCUCGGCAUCGGGAUGCCGCGGCGAUAGGUGGUGAACAAGGCCUCGGCCAAGCAAGCAACCCGUCGUGCAUGCCGUGCCAAUUCGGGCUCGAAGGACCCUUUGUCGUUGUCUUUAAGGCAACCAAACCGUUGCGACCCCAGGUCAGGCGGGGC
rnacentral:rRNA from 1 species